rnacentral:rRNA from 1 species
UCAGAAUGAACGCUGGCGGCAGGCCUAAAACAUGCAAGUCGAGCGCUCUAGCAAUAGAGAGCGGCGCACGGGUGAGUAACACGUGGGAAUAUGCCUUUUGGUACGGAACAACCUCGGGAAACUGAGGCUAAUACCGCAUGGUCCCUUCGGGGUAAAGAUUUAUCGCCAAAAGAUUAGCCCGCGUUGGAUUAGCUAGUUGGUAAGGUAAUGGCUUACCAAGGCGACGAUCCAUAGCUGGUCUUAGAGGACGAUCAGCCACACUGGGACUGAGACACGGCCCAGACUCCUACGGGAGGCAGCAGUUAGGAAUAUUGGACAAUGGGCGCAAGCCUGAUCCAGCCAUGCCGCGUGAGUGAUGAAGGCCUUCGGGUUGUAAAGCUCUUUAGCCGACGAAUAUAAUGACUGUAGUCGGAGAAUAAGCCCCGGCUAACUUCGUGCCAGCAGCCGCGGUAAUACGAAGGGGGCGAGCGUUAUUCGGAAUCACUGGGCGUAAAGCGUGCGUAGGCUGUUUUGUAAGUUGGGAGUGAAAGCCCAGGGCUCAACCCUGGAAUUGCUCUCAAAACUACAAGACUUGAAUCCCGGAGAGGAUAGCGGAAUUGUCAGUGUAGCAGUGAAAUGCGUAGAUAUUGACAGGAACACCAGUGGCGUAAGCGGCUAUCUGGACGGGUAUUGACGCUGAGGCACGAAAGCGUGGGGAUCAAACAGGAUUAGAUACCCUGGUAGUCCACGCCGUAAACGAUGUGAGUUUGUCGCUGGGAGGUUUACCUCUCGGUGACGUAGCUAACGCGAUAAACUCACCGCCUGGGAAGUACGGCCGCAAGGCUAAAACUCAAAGGAAUUGACGGGGACCCGCACAAGCGGUGGAGUAUGUGGUUUAAUUCGUCGCAACGCGAAGAACCUUACCAGGCCUUGACAUGCCGAU